rnacentral:precursor_RNA from 1 species
AAGAGAUGAAAUCGAAUCAAGAAGAGAGAGAGAAAAACAAACAAAAAAUGUUUUGCGUGCAUAUCUAGAAGAUAAUGAAGUGACAUGUCCUUGCUAUCUCGAUCUCUCUGUCUCUGCACAAAAAAAAGAAAGAAAGAAAGAAAAGCCACGCGUGUCGGCGCGGGUUUCCACCAAGAAAUUCAGGGAAACGAGAUCAAAUCAAAUCAAACAAAUUAAAAGAUGGCUCCUCUCCGGAGAUGAGAGAUCGACGCGAGAUCGGGGCGGGGGAUGCGGGAGGGAGUGAUGAGAGAUGCUGACAGAAAGAGGAGCGAGCACGCGGCGGGGGCAGGCAUCCCGCCGAUGGCUAGCCGCCGCGCCGUGUGCUCACUCUCUUCUGUCAACAAUCUCGCCUUUCAUAUGCUCGAUCCCGCCCCGCCCCAAGAUCGAUCAACAAACCUGCACUGCACCCACGUAGUAGUAAACAAGAAGCAUCACGCAGGGGAAAAAAGAAGAAAAAAGAUCGGUUCUUUGCUUCUCGGAUCCGGUGAGAGAGAGAGACCGAUCGACGACGGUGGCCGUACUGGAGCUAGGCAGCAGCUGCAGGGAGAUAGAGAGAGAGGGUACAGGAUUAUUACAGGAGAAAAUAGGAGGAGUUCUUGGUGUUUGGGGUGCACUGAAUGUGAAUGUUGGUGUGGGGUGCUGUGCCUAAUAUAAGCUCACCUCUUAAACUCGAUCUCUCGAUCAGGUUCGGCUCACCGGACUCCAGUGACACUCAAGCUAGAGAGG